CACAGAGGAUAUUCAGUGCUAAACCUACAGACAUUAAAUUGGACUUCAGAACAGAUUUAAAGAACAAGGCAGAUGUAAAGGCUAUACCAUGCCCUCAAAUUUGUCAUUCCAGAAAGAUUCAUAAUUAUGGAC